UAACCGAUGAAGAGCUUGGAACCAGAGGCU
rnacentral:piRNA from 1 species